UGGGGAAUAUUGGACAAUGGGCGCAAGCCUGAUCCAGCCAUGCCGCGUGAGUGACGAAGGUCUUCGGAUUGUAAAACUCUUUUGGCGGGGACGAUAAUGACGGUACCCGCAGAAUAAGCCCCGGCUAACUUCGUGCCAGCAGCCGCGGUAAUACGAAGGGGGCUAGCGUUGUUCGGAAUCACUGGGCGUAAAGCGCACGUAGGCGGAUGUGCCAGUCAGGGGUGAAAUCCCGGAGCUCAACUCCGGAACUGCCUCUGAUACAGCACGUCUUGAGUUCGAGAGAGGUGGGUGGAAUUCCUAGUGUAGAGGUGAAAUUCGUAGAUAUUAGGAAGAACACCGGUGGCGAAGCGGCCCACUGGCUCGAUACUGACGCUGAGGUGCGAAAGCGUGGGGAGCAAACAGGAUUAGAUACCCCUGUAGUCCCUGAGCGGGCUGGCAAGGCGCAU
rnacentral:rRNA from 1 species